CUGGGUGUACAAAAGUAUAGUACAUGCAGCUACAUAGAGUACUUAAUGCUUGAUUGUGAUAAAUAAUAUGGUAGCAUUUAUGUAUUUACUAUACUUUUAUGGUUAUUUUAAAGUAUACUCCUUCUACUUAUAUAUUUUUAAAAGUUAACCGCAAAACAGCUCCAGGCAGGUCCUUUAGGAGCAUUGCAGAAGGCAGCCUUGUUAUCAUAGGAGGUGACAGCUCCAUGCGUGCGACUGCCCUGAAUCCCUUCCAGGGGAAACAGGAUGUAGAGGAAGACAGCAGUGUUGGUGAUCCUGACCCUGCAAAGACCUAUGCUAAAGUAUUCUCUUCUUAAAAGAGAAGCCAUAUUUCCUUCCAGAACCAUUAUCACCUUGAACAUUUCCCAGAAUCAAAGGGGGAAAGCAUAGCAACUGGAAAGGGAUGAUGAGAAGAUGCAAUAUGAUGACACAUCCAAAAGCUCACAGUGAGAUGCCUGGUAUACAGGAACUGCUGAACAAUGGAAUGUGGAUGUGAGAGGAGGAAUUCAAGCAGCCUUUUUGAACUAUGAGGAACAGAACUGAUGAGCAGCAAGAUAGAAAGAAGCUAAGACUCUGGAGAUUUGAAAGGACACACUAGCAGCCUAGAUUGCCUAUCCCAGAGCUUUCUUUUACAAAAGAGAUAGACAGGCUUUGACCUUAAGAAAAGUAUGUUAUUCUUCACUUGCAACUAAACCUAAAGUUAGUAUGUUUAAUGAAGGAGGCCCAGAAUCCUAGGUGGCAUUUUGGACAAAAGAGUUUCCCAAACAUUAAGAUGAGCUAACAGGAGUAGAGGGAGAUUAGCAGCUCAGGGAAGUGCCCACCAUGGUGCCUUGUAUAUAUCUGAGAUCAGGAGUCAUCAGCUACCUUGUUGGCAGUGUCGGGAAAGUAAGUCAGUGCCUCAACCUUGGAUCUUUAAAACGCUUCAUACAAAGCCUGGAUCCAAUCUCCACUUUUUAUGUGUACACCUUGCUGAU
ensembl:lncRNA